UCCUAAGUGAUCUUCGCAUAUCACUGGAAC
rnacentral:piRNA from 1 species